UAAACAAAUCGCUAGUCAAAUUAAAAAUGAUCAUAGAUUAGCUAAUUUUCGGCUGAUUAAUGUAUCAGAAACUCAAACUGAUUUGACAUCCAUGCUAAAUUAACAGCAGUGUUAGUUGAUCAGUGAUUUGACAGACCUUUCAGAAACCGGGGGUAAAUCUUUUAGUCUUAUGUCCCC